UAUUUCUAUUCUAGAGUUAUUUAUGCCUCUUGCUGUUUUCUUAAUUGAUUCUGCAAUGCACGUUUUCUUUUUAAUAUUUGGGUGUUAAAUUUCUUGGUUCUGUCCAAAUUGCCUCUCAAAGAACAUUCUCUGAGGUGGCUGCAUUUGGGAGAGUUGAGAGAGUUGCACUAGGGAUAUUGUUCUGGGGAUUUUUCCCUCUUCUCCUUCGCCCUCUUGUGCUUUUGGCUCUUUUGUUAACUGAUUUUGCAUAUGCAUAUAUUUAUUCAUUGUUCUGUGUUAAUUUCGUAGCAGUCAAAUUUAUUAAGAUGAACGCAAUGAGAAUAGAGGAAGGCUCUGUGAAGUGUGAACAAAAUCUCCAAAGGGAAUGUGUGUCUAAUGCAUUGUGAGUCUGAUGGAUGGAUUUUGCAUUCGUCCUAGAUUCCACUGGGUUUACAUGAAGCUGUACAAUGGAGAAUACAACAAGUUACAGUUUAUCUACAAUCAAGCAUUUUCAUGGCUUUUGCAGCUGGUGUCGCUCUUAAUUCAUUAUCUUUUAAUGAGGGCGUGCGAGACAUUUUUCUAGAAAACUUAUUUGAAUUUGAAUCCUGCGGCAAGAAAGCUAAUGUUCAAUGCUGAUAGAGCAUGAAGCCAACUUUGUUGCUCUUGGUGGCUUAGCUGCAUUUCAUGAAAAAAGCUUGUCAUGCCUGUGAGAGAUAGAACUAAAGAAAAAAAAAAAAGGUUAACAGCUCAUAAUCUCUUGGGUAUAUUGUGUAACAUUGUAAUUCUUCUAGUGGGCUACAAGAUUUUGUUUGUAAGAACGAAAUCAUUCAUUUGACGAAAAUUGAUUGCUCAGAAUCAACAGGAAGAUGUAUAGUUCAUUUAGAAAUGCUUACAAUCGAAGCAUGACAGUGAUACUGGAAUCUAUGAUACUGAAGGAAGGUGCAUGCUUAAUUCUUUCCUUUUCCUUACUAGAUUUCUCUACCGAUUGACUUAUAUUGGUUAAUGAUUUUGUCAGACUUUGCUUACAAGUCUGGCUAAACUUAGAAACUUACAAAACCACCUUUUUUUGUGAAGGCUUGGUCAUGAAAUUUUUGAGUUGAUAUUUUAGGGAACAAGCACUGCCAAAGGGAAACCCCUUAACAACCCAAGAAUUGGAUGAACAUUAACUCAAGGCAAAAAUGGAGCCUAUAAACCCUUCGAUACAGACUGUUGCUUUAUCAGAGUGGAGUAAAUUCAUGCGCUAUAGCCGGUCAGACGCGUGCCCCGUGUUGUCAAUUAGUGCAGUGUACUGUCAAUCGGAGUUAUCAUACAGAAAAACGUCAUAACGCAUCUAAAAUUUGCGUUAUACAUCAACAUGAUUGACAACACAAUGCACGCGUUUGAUGCUAGCGAGUGUAAUAUAACGUAAUUGACGAAUAAGUACCAACCACACAAAAAUGAGUUAUUAUGUCAUUUUUUAACCAAUUUGGAGAUAUUAGUCGUAUUACAACGUUCUCUCCAGGAGAGAUAUUCGAAGCAAUAGGUAGGACAUGAUAAAUUGGGUGAAGAUUUUGAAUACUCGAAUAACCCAAACGAGAGAUACAAUCAACGUUACAACAAUAUGAUGACCGACGAGUGGAAUUGGCGUGUUAGGGAGAUUGCAGCACUGGAACAAAACUUGAGGUCAUUAGGGCUUCAACGCCCAAAAAAUCGUGAUUUGUCAAUGCCUCGUGACACUCCACAAAAGUUGAAUUUUGCUCUUAACCGCUUUCGUGAAGAGAAUAAUCGGAUGAAAAUAUGUUGCCUCAAGGUAAAAUAUGGUCAACAUGGUUACAUCAGAUUCAAAUCCAAGUGGGAUUCAGAUUGUGAGAUGUCCGAUUAUGAUGAUUCCCCAUGAUAUUAGUAAUAGUUGUAUUGUAUUAAAUAAAGUUGGUGGGAUCAUAGUCAUGAUCUCACAACCUAUUGAGUUUGCUACUUAGUAUCCUCUUAAAAUUCAAUGUGGAAUAGUAGAAAUAUAAAUUGGUCGGUAUUUUUUCCACUGGAUUCGAAUAGCCGUGGUGAUGACAACUCAAAUCAAAGCAUCUAUUCCGUUGAUUCCUCAACCGAUAACAGUGAAUUCGUGCUAGACGAUUUCAAGCUCCAUCUUGUAAUGGAGCGUAAUAACGAUUUUCGCAAGCUGAAAUAUUCAGAUCCACAUGAAUAUUAUUGUGGUUUACGUCGCGAAUGUCCCGAAUCACGUCUUGUUCGUAACUUGAAAAAUUUCAACUCUCAACUCUCAAAUCCCAAUAAGGUUCUCAAUAACCAUGCCUCGAGUAGGUGCACACACUUGCGACCUUGCCGUACAAAGGAUUAGAAAAGAAAACAACAGAAUGCUAGCAAGACAUUGUAGGUUUCACAUGCUAAAGUUGGCCGAAGAACAAACAUCAUCAACCGGUAGGGAACAAACAUCGACAAGAAGAAGAUCUGUCUUAACAAACCUAGGAUAUUCAUCUGAGGACGAUAUUGAAGACUUCAAUUCUUAUGAUGAUUAAGAAUAUUGUGAUUUUAGUUAUAUGUUUAAUUUAUGAUGAUGUUGUUAAUUUGAAGAAUAUUAGUAUGUUUAGUUUUACAUCAACUCAAGGGUAUGAAUUGAUGAAUGUAUUUUAAGUUUUUUUUUUUCUUUGAUGAUUGUAUUUUAACAAGUUUGGAUUUGUUAUUAAUGAACAAGUUUAAGCAUUUUCAUAUUAUUAUGAAUGAUGCAAUUUAGUUAUUUUGAGAUUGGUAUGAAUGAUGCAAUUUUGAUUAAAAUAUAACACACUUAAAUCUAAACCCUAAAACGUAAAUAACUUAAAGCUAA